rnacentral:rRNA from 1 species
UAGGGAAUCUUCGGCAAUGGACGAAAGUCUGACCGAGCAACGCCGCGUGAGUGAAGAAGGGUUUCGGCUCGUAAAACUCUGUUGGUAGAGAAGAACGUUGGUGAGAGUGGAAAGCUCAUCAAGUGACGGUAACUACCCAGAAAGGGACGGCUAACUACGUGCCAG